rnacentral:rRNA from 1 species
UACAGAGGUCUCAAGCGUUGUUCGGAUUCAUUGGGCGUAAAGGGUGCGUAGGCGGCGCGGUAAGUCGGGUGUGAAAUCUCGGAGCUUAACUCCGAAACUGCAUUCGAUACUGCCGUGCUUGAGGACUGGAGAGGAGACUGGAAUUUACGGUGUAGCGGUGAAAUGCGUAGAUAUCGUAAGGAAGACCAGUGGCGAAGGCGGGUCUCUGGAUAGUUCCUGACGCUGAGGCACGAAGGCCAGGGGAGCAAACGGG